GAUGAAGAACGUAGCGAAAUGCGAUAAGUAAUGUGAAUUGCAGAAUUCAGUGAAUCAUCGAAUCUUUGAACGCACAUUGCGCCCCCUGGUAUUCCGGGGGGCAUGCCUGUCCGAGCGUCAUUACAACCCUCAAGCUCAGCUUGGUGUUGGGCCCCGCCGCCCCGGCGGGCCCUAAAGUCAGUGGCGGUGCCGUCCGGCUCCGAGCGUAGUAAUUCUUCUCGCUCUGGAGGUCCGGUCGUGUGCUCGCCAGCAACCCCCAAUUUUUUUCAGGUUGACCUCGGAUCAGGUAGGGAUACCCGCUGAACUUAAGCAUAUCAAUAAGCGGACGA
rnacentral:misc_RNA from 1 species